CUCCUGCCCCAGGCAAAGGGCUGAUUUCCUGAGUACACAUUAAUCUGAGCUCCCUCAGCCCUAGGGGUAGGGGGAUUGGGGGCACAAGAUGGGUGGAGCCAGAUAGGGAAGAUUCCCCCAGUGUUGUCCUGCUCCCAGUCCAGGUUUGGGACAAUGCCGGCAGCGUUUCCCUGUGUCUUUCCCCCACAAAGUCUCCAAGUCUCUCCUCAAAUGAGCUCCAAGGCUUGGGAGAAACAAUCUCUUCCUCUGCCCGGGUUGCGUGGAUCUCCAGUGGAAAGGAAGAACCGGAACUAUGAUUUGUGCCUUCCUUAUUGCCUCCGAAAUAUUUUUAACUGCAGAGGAAAGCCUGUAUUAUUUUGGAGAAAGGCGAACAGAUAAAACGCACAGCAGUAAAUUUCAGGGACUAGAAACUCCUUCUCAGGUAAGUUUUCUUUUUAAAAAUGGGAGGUUUUUUUAGGGGAGUGGGUUAAGAUUGCCAGCUGUUAUUUGGUUUCAUUUUAGACUCUUCUCCUUUGGUGAUCAGGCAGCAGCAGUUGGGUGCCCUGCAACAGGCCUUGGUCCCUCCCUGAGUCUGAGGGUCACGCUUUAGGUGCUGCCCACAUGCUGGGGACUCUGGCUUCUCCUCAGAGAAUCCUGCUUUCUAUUCUAUACUGGUUAUUGUUUAUGGAGCUCAGGAGUUGAUUAUUUUCCCAAAGUAGGAAGGUCCAGUACCCAAGGCUCCAGGACUCUGAAGUGUGUCUAAAAUCACCAGCCUUUGAUUUCAAUGUAAAAAAGAUCCAAGUCUUUCACAAACCCUUACUUGGGCAAUUCAACCCUUGCAAAACAUCACAAAGAACUGUUUUUGGAUGACUCAUGGUUGUGUGUGUGUGUGUGUGUGUGUGUGUGUGUGUGUGUGUGUAUUUUCUGUGUGUUGUGGGGGAGGUGUAUUUUAAAAGAGAAAAUAAAAGGAGAAAUAAACUUUUCAAAACCCCUUCUGUAUACCAGACAGUAUUGCACUUUUACGUAUCUCAUUUAAUACCCAUAACACCUAUAUGAAAUAUACACUGUUACUCUGUUUUUUCUUUUAGAAACAUUUUGUUAUGGAAAAUUUUAAUCAUAUACAAAAGUCCAGAGCAUCAUACAAUAUAUCCACAUAUAGUCGUCACAUUGCUGCAACAGUCAUUUCAGCCGGCAGCCAGCCACAUUUCAUCCGUUCUUUCCCACUCCACUCACACCCCUCAACCCCACUCUCCACUCUUGCUUUCCCUAAAUCUGAGUUAUUUUAAAGGAAAUUUCAGUCGUCAGAUCAUUUUAUCCCAUAGCAUUUUAGUAUGACAUUUAAGUACUCUUAAAACAACAACAAAAAACCUUAACACUUUUUAUCAUAUCUAAAAAUAUUAUACCUUAAAAAUCCUUCAUAUCAAAUUUGUAGUCCAUGUUUGUUUCCAGAAUUGUCUUAAAAUCUUUGAAAAUUUAGUUUGUUUAAUCAGAAUUCAAACAAAGUCCACACAUUUCAUUUGGUUGCUGUGUCUCCUAAGUCUCUUUUAAGAAUCUAAGUUCAUAGAUUUCUCACCAUUUUUUAUUACUUGUAAUUUGUUUAUUGCAGAAACCAGGAUGUUUAUCCUAUAGCAUUUACAACAUUCUAGACUUUGCUGAACUAUUCUAAUAUUCACUAUCUCAUUUAAUAUUCUCAAUAACUCUAUGAGUAGGCACUACUGUCAUUCUCAUCUUAUAAAUUAGAAAAUUGAGGUUCAGAGAAAGUAACUUUUGAACCAAGGACUGAAAUCUAGAUGUCAGUCUCUGAAGCCCUUUUUGUGCACAGCUUCUCAUUUAUAUUGCCUUUUCUAUAUUGCCCCUGAAACUGAAGUGAGAGUGGGUUGGGAAUUCCGAAAUGGAUUUGGAUGUGGCUGUAAAUGAGUUUUUCUUUAAGUGGUGGGAGCUGAGUAAGUACUCUUGGCCCCGUUAGAAGAACACUCUAACUACCGGCCCUAAACCUUUAGUUUGGGCCAGAAGAACUCAGCCUUAUCCACUGAUACUUUUCUCCCACACCCAAGCCCAAAACAAAACAAAACAAAACAAAGAUAUUCAUAGACCCUAAGCUAAAAGUGAUAGGUGAAUUUACUGAAGUGCAGCCCUAAUCAUGCCAUUUCCAUGCUCAAAAUCCAUACUAUGUCCCCACUGCCAAUGGCAAUAAACUAAACGUUUCAACCUGGCACUCAAGAGCCACACUUUGACUUUUCCAACCUUCUCUUCCACUAUGUGCAUGCACACAUCCCAUACUCCAACACAUUUAGACUGUGUGCUCUUUCCCAGCCUAUGGACACUUGAUACCCUCAUGCCGUUGCUCAUGCCCCCUUUUCCUAGAGUCCCUUUCCCUUCUCAGCCUGAAGUAGUCUCUUGCUUUUUCAAUUCUUAGAGCCCUUUGUGUUUCUUUUAGAGACUACAUCACUUUGCAUCAUUCUCUAGUUAUUUGAAGUGGUGACUUCUGUAUCCCCUUUAAAGGCAAAGCCCAUGGCUUACCCAUCUUUCCACCCUUUUCUCGUAAUAUCUUGUUGUUUGUAGUGAGUGCCUCCUAUGUGUUGGUUGUAUUAAUUUCUACUACAAGUCCAUGUUGUUUUAAGUUGUAGGAGAAGGAAGCGUGGGAGCACAAGCAGCUUGAGGGCCCUGGUGUUUUACAGCCCUUAGGGAAAGGUGGAGAAUCUAGUGGCAGAAGCUAAGGGGAUGCUAGGUGGAGCUCCUUCAACAACUCUCCCCACACAUCUCCUCAUCCCCAUUUCUUCUGCAGUCAUGCAUAGUUUCCCUAACUUUAGUCCAGAACUAGCACAUCAAAGCUGCAACUGAAUCUCUUCUGAUUCACUGAAAAAGCAACAAAGGGAUUCAGCUGCACGUUUGAGAGCUGUUGGCAAGACCUCAGGACAGAGUGCCCUCUGUGUCUGGUGGUGAUUCUCAGACACCAUCACAUUCUGAUCCUGCAUUGUUAGCCAUUCUACUGACUACAUCUACUCCUAAGUUAAGGACUUUCUUGAGCCUAUCUCAUGACUGGCCCUUUCUGAAGGGAAGUAUGGCAGCUAGUUACUUUAAUGAGCAUUUCCCAAUGGGUAAGGAACAGUCUGUGAACCUAUGAGUUUUGUUUUGUUUUGUUUUGUUUUUAAUUUUUGAGACAGAGUCUCGCUCUGUCGCCCAGACUAGAGUGCAGUGGUGCAAUCUCAGCUCACUGCAACCUCGACGUCUUGGGUUCAAGCGAUUCUCCUGCCUCAGCCUCCCAAGUGGCUGGGAUUAUAGGUGCCCAUCACCACGCAUGGCCUAUUUUUGUAUUUUUAGUAGAGACAAGGUUUCACCCUGUUGGCGAGGCUGGUCUCAAACUCCUGACGCCCAGUGAUCUGCCCACCUCGGCCUCCCAAAGUGCUGGGAUUACAGGCGGGAGCCACCAUGAUGGCCAACUUUUGAAUUCUGAACCAGUUGAUUGAGUACCAGAGCUCUUCAAUACCUUGAAGAAAGAUUCAGGGGAGAGCCGUUGUGAACAGCUUGCCCCAGGGAAAGGACAAGGCUGAGAGAAUUCCAGGGCUUCCUUGAGAAAACAGAAUUGAGGAAAUGCAAAGUGAAGAAUUCUAGCAUCAGGAACAAGAGAAGAAUGAUGGAAAACCUGCUACUGAGAUAUGUUGGAUAUUUUGCACAAGUGAAACAUCUCUACAACUGGAAUCUCCCUCCAAGACGGAUACUCUUUAUAAUAAGAUUCAUUAUUUAUUCGAUUCGUGAUACUGCAUGACAUUGAAACAGCUGGUGUAUUAACUAAUGUAUAUGACAGUCCAUCUCUGUACGAUGAUGUGAAAGUGCAGUUUUUCUCUUCGGCUUUAUCUACCAAGAAAUGAAUUGGAUAAUCCACAUCAACAAAAAGCAUGGAAAAUUUAUCCACCAGAAUUUGCCGUGGAGAUACUUUUUGGCGAGAAAUGACUUCCAAUGACGUAGCUGGAUCCGAUUAAGUAUAGUUUCCCCUUCCCCUUCUGGGAAAGAAUUAAUGUUCUUUCCAACCCCUGCCAUGUGCAUGUUCAUAUGUCCUAAGUCUUCCUUGAUGAUGUAUCUAUAUUUAUAUAUGUUUAUAUAUGUUCUUCAUAAAUCUAUUAAAUAUAUAUAGAUAAAAUGUCA
rnacentral:lncRNA from 1 species